UGGGGGCAGAUCAACAGGGAUUGCCCCAGUAACGGCGAGUGAAGCGGCAACAGCUCAAAUUUGAAAUCUGGCCCCCGGGUCCGAGUUGUAAUUUGCAGAGGAUGCUUCGGGCGAGGUGCCUUCCGAGUUCCCUGGAACGGGACGCCACAGAGGGUGAGAGCCCCGUCUGGUCGGACACCGAGCCCGUGUGAAGCUCCUUCGAAGAGUCGAGUAGUUUGGGAAUGCUGCUCAAAAUGGGAGGUAUAUGUCUUCUAAAGCUAAAUAUUGGCCAGAGACCGAUAGCGCACAAGUAGAGUGAUCGAAAGAUGAAAAGCACUUUGAAAAGAGGGUUAAAAAGUACGUGAAAUUGUUGAAAGGGAAGCGCCCAUGACCAGACUUGGGCCCGGUGAAUCACCCGGCGUUCUCGCCGGUGCACUUUGCCGGGCACAGGCCAGCAUCAGUUUGGCGCGGGGGACAAAGGCUUCGGGAACGUGGCUCCCUCGGGAGUGUUAUAGCCCGCUGCGUAAUACCCUGCGCCGGACUGAGGUACGCGCAUCGCAAGGAUGCUGGCGUAAUGGUCAUCAGCGACCCGUCUUGAAACACGGACCAAGGAGUCGUCUUCGUAUGCGAGUGUUCGGGUGUCAAACCCCUACGCGGAAUGAAAGUGAACGCAGGUGAGAGCUUCGGCGCAUCAUCGACCGAUCCUGAUGUUCUCGGAUGGAUUUGAGUAAGAGCAUACGGGGCCGGACCCGAAAGAAGGUGAACUAUGCCUGUAUAGGGUGAAGCCAGAGGAAACUCUGGUGGAAGCUCGCAGCGGUUCUGACGUGCGAAUCGAUCGUCAAAUAUGGGCAUGGGGGCGAAAGACUAAUCGAACCUUCUAGUAGCUGGUUUCCGCGAGU
rnacentral:rRNA from 1 species